AAAUCAAUCCAGCUUUUUUCUUGAUCAACACUGAACAGUUGACCCUCUUGACACCCCAAUAUUUGUGAUGUGAUACCUCAAUAUGUUGAAUUUUUAAUAUUUAAAUUUAAAACAGUUUCAGGCAAUGUGAUCUUAAAGAUGAAAACUAUUGAUGAAUGAGAAAGCAGGUGUUGAAUAAUCACCAGGCUGAUUUAAGAGAUUUCUAUUGUGUGUGAUGAUUCUCUUAAAAAGACAUGGUGAGAAAUGGCAGUGUCAAAGAUUUCAACUGUCAGACAAUGUAAUAGUCAUUAAUCCUGCUUGUGAGAUAUGCAAUUGAUACCUGCCUUGUGUGGAGCAAAAUGAUUCUUCAUAGGGAAUUACCAGUCUGAUUUUGGGCAAGUUCAAAAGAAGGAGCAACCCAUUGAAGCAACUUGUUCAAAUGUAGCCCAUAGAGCAGCAAUUCAAGUCUUGUCUACAGGACAUUUUUGACCCAUACUUAAAAAGGUUUGUGCCCAGCCGUGGACAGGUAAGUAAUGAAUAAUUUUUAUAGCUUUUUAAAACUUAUUUUAAAAUAACAUUUUUG